rnacentral:rRNA from 1 species
GUGAAACCGCGAAUGGCUCAUUAAAUCACACCUGAUAUACUGGAUAGUAUCAGUUACUUGGAUAACUGCGGUAAUUCUGGAGCUAAUACAUGCGUGAAAGCCCCGAACUUACGUGAGGGGCGCUUUUAUUAGAUCAAAACCAAACGACCUCGUGUCGUCCCCCUGGUGACUCUGAAUAACUUUUUGCUGAUCGCACGGCUUCACGCCGGCGACGUAUCUUUCUAAGGUGUGCUCUAUCAACUGUCGACUGUGGCAUAGACGCCCACAGUGGUUUUGACGGAUAACGGGGAAUCAGGGUUCGAUUCCGGAGAGGGAGCCUGAGAAACGGCUACCACUUCUAAGGAAGGCAGCAGGCACGCAAAUUACCCACUGGUCGUAGACCGAGGUAGUGACGAAAAAUAACGAUACCGGACUCAUCCGAGGCCCGGUAAUCGGAAUGAGUACACUUUAAAUCCUUUAACGAGGAACCAUUGGAGGGCAAGUCUGGUGCCAGCAGCCGCGGUAAUUCCAGCUCCAAUAGCGUAUAUUAAAUUUGUUGCGGUUAAAAAGCUCGUAGUUGGAUCUCGGCGGGCAGGGGGCGGUUCGUUGUUUGACGCUACUGCCCCAUUUGCCCGUGAAUGGUGUGGCGGAGGUUCCAGGGUGCUCUUAACCGAGUGUCCUGGGGCGCCGCCAGGUUUACUUUGAAAAAAUUAGAGUGCUCAAAGCAGGCUUUACACGCUUGAAUAUUCGUGCAUGGAAUAAUGGAAUAGGACGUCGUUUCUAUUUUGUUGGUUUUCGGAAAUCGACGUAAUGAUUAAUAGGGACAGUCGGGGGCAUUAGUAUUCAGACGACAGAGGUGAAAUUCUUGGACCGUCUGAAGACUAACUACUGCGAGA